AAGAAGCGAAGCAGUGAUGUGAAGCGAAACUCAAAAAGUAGUCUCAGUUCGGAUUGAAGGCUGAAAUUCGCCUUCAUGAAGCCGGAAUUGCUAGUAAUGGCAGGUCAGCAUACUGCCGUGAAUACGUUCCCGGGCCUUGUACACACCGCCCGUCACACCAUGGAAGUUGGGGGCACCCGAAGCCAGUGGCCUAACCGCAAGGAGGGAGCUGUCGAAGGUGAAAUCAAUGACUGGGGUGAAGUCGUAACAAGGUACC
rnacentral:rRNA from 1 species